UUACUAAGUAUUCUUAGUGGCGGACGGGUGAGUAACACGUGAGCAACCUGCCUUUGAGAGAGGGAUAGCUUCUGGAAACGGAUGGUAAUACCUCAUAACGUAGUUUUACCGCAUGAUGAGACUACCAAAGAUUUAUCACUCAAAGAUGGGCUCGCGUCUGAUUAGCUAGAUGGUGAGGUAACGGCCCACCAUGGCGACGAUCAGUAGCCGGACUGAGAGGUUGAACGGCCACAUUGGGACUGAGACACGGCCCAGACUCCUACGGGAGGCAGCAGUGGGGAAUAUUGCACAAUGGGGGAAACCCUGAUGCAGCGAUGCCGCGUGGAGGAAGAAGGUUUUCGGAUUGUAAACUCCUGUCUUAAAGGACGAUAAUGACGGUACUUUAGGAGGAAGCUCCGGCUAACUACGUGCCAGCAGCCGCGGUAAUACGUAGGGAGCGAGCGUUGUCCGGAAUUACUGGGUGUAAAGGGAGCGUAGGCGGGAUGGCAAGUCAGAUGUGAAAACUAUGGGCUCAACCCAUAGACUGCAUUUGAAACUGUUGUUCUUGAGUGAAGUAGAGGUAAGCGGAAUUCCUGGUGUAGCGGUGAAAUGCGUAGAUAUCAGGAGGAACACCGGUGGCGAAGGCGGCUUACUGGGCUUUUACUGACGCUGAGGCUCGAAAGCGUGGGGAGCAAACAGG
rnacentral:rRNA from 1 species